rnacentral:lncRNA from 1 species
CCACUUGCACUAGAGCCAAUCAGCUUGGUCAUCAGUGAUGAUACCUCUUCUGUAGUCAUUUCAAAAAUGGUUGAGUAGUAGGCCUAGACAAUGGAUAUCUAUAUGUUAUCCAUAGAAGCAACCUUGAGAAUAACGACGUCACCAUUAUACAUGAUUCUCAAUCAUGUGGUUCAGUCUCUCAUUUGAGUUCGGAUCGUGAUGAGACCUUGAUUCCCUGGCUUGAGCUAUCACCCCAUUAGUGUUGUAGUGUCAGUACACUAGAGACACUUUCUGGUUGAAACUGAAUAGAGAGUUCAUAAAUGAACUUUCCCAUCCAAACAACAUUGUUGUAAGCUUCUAUAUGGCAAUAUAUUUUGCAUUCACAAUGGAACACACUAAAGUCAUUACUUUUAAUGUUUCCAUCCAAAUAUCUCUUUUAGUCAUAAUAAAGAGAUAUUUGAUUAUCUCUUCAUUCAUAAUGAAGAAACAUCCAAUGAUGGAUUAGAUUCAUAAUCUAAUACAUUUACGUUUCCAUUACGUUACUCUAAUUCUUCCUCAUUCUUUGAGGAAUCUAUCCUUUAGUAUUUCUUAAAUAUUCAAGGACUCACUUAACAGUUGCCAUGGUUUUGAUCCUGGGCUUGCACUGAUAUCGUCUUGUACCUUUCUAGGUACAACUCAUAUCAAUGUUUUUUCAUACAAUAUGAAAUACAUAAAUCACCUUUCUGCGUAUGCAUAAAGAAUUCUAUUUACGCAUUAUUUCUUUGGGAGUCAAAGGGUACGUUCCCUUUGAGAAGGGCAACUUGCUAGUCUCACUAGAGUCGUCCUUCUAAUUGAAGUUUAUCAUCAUAUGAGAAACUUCCUAGCAUCUCUUGUCUAUUAUUAGGGAUUGAUAUAAUCCAAUUAUAUCUUGAAAUAUAUAUCAUUAUAGAUUUCCAUCCCAUGUAUUUUAGACUAUAUCUCCCAUAUACAUUCUAUCGUUAUAGAAUGUUUGAAGUCAUAACUUUAACGAAUAAAUAUUCUUUUCAUUUCCAAAAUUAAUAUAUCAUAUAUGUGUAUAUAUAUAUAUAUAUAUUUAAAUUUAGGAAUAUGAUUAACUCCCACUAAUCUUUUGUAAACCUAGUAAACAAAAGAUUCAUUUACAUCUUUAUGAGAAAUCAAACGAUUUGAUCUUUUUCUCAUAAGACGCUUAUAGCUCCCACUAGCUUGCUAAGAUCCAUGAUGGAUGGAUCUCUACAACUUACAUGUCUUGUGAUUCAUAGUUUUAGACAUAUAUUAUCAAGACUAUCUUAAUAAUGGUUUCGGAAACCCAUAUUAUGUCCAAACAUUGAAUCACCAUUUAGUUGUAGCUAGCAAUCUUCGAAUUAAUUGAAACUAAGACUACGUCAAAGAUGGUUUCUUCAAAGUCAACCAUUCUCUUAAAUUGUAGUCACCUUAAGCUACCAAUUAGCUAUAAAGGUUUCAUUAUUUCGAGUCAAAUGGUACUUUACCAUUUCCUUGAGUAUAUGUCGUAUAUACACUCAAUGUAGUCAUAAGGAUUUUCAUUCUUAUUUCUUUCGAAUUAAGAGGUGCAACUCUAUGACAUAGGCAUAAAGUUCAAACCAUUCAACUGAGACAGUUUAUAAAUCCUUCUCGACUACCUUGGAGCUUGU